UGUCUGGCGGCGAUAGCGCGGUGGUCCCACCUGACCCCAUGCCGAACUCAGAAGUGAAACGCCGUAGCGCCGAUGGUAGUGUGGGGUCUCCCCAUGUGAGAGUAGGGAACUGCCAGACUU
rnacentral:rRNA from 1 species